rnacentral:rRNA from 1 species
AUCAACGCUGGCGGCGUGCCUAACACAUGCAAGUCGAGCGAGAAAGGGGGAGGCAACUCCAUGAGUACAGUGGCGACCGGGUGAGUAACACGUGGACUAAUCUACCUCCGAGUGGGGAAUAACACCGGGAAACCGGAUGCUAAUACCGCAUACGAUAGCGAGGUCUGCGGAUCUGCGAUGAAAGCAGCAAUUCGCUCUAGGAGAGGGGUCCGCGGCUGAUUAGCUAGUUGGUAGGGUAACGGCUCACCAAGGCGAACGAUCAGGUAGCCGGUCUGAGAGGGCGCACGGCCACACUGGAACUGAACACGGUCCAGACUCCUACGGGAGGCAGCAGUGGGGAAUUUUUGCGCAAUGGGGGCAACCCUGACGCAGCAACGCCGCGUGGAGUGAUGAAGUCCCUUGGGACUGUAAAACUCCUUUCGACCGGGACGAUAACUGCACGGUGACGGUACCGUAGAAGAAGCACCGGCUAACUCUGUGCCAGCAGCCGCGGUAAUACAGAGGGGUGCGAGCGUUGUUCGGAAUUACUGGGCGUAAAGGGCGCGUAGGCGGUGCGGCUAAGUGCACCUGUGAAAAUCUCUGGCUCAACCUGGAGAGCCUUGCAGGCCGAAACUGCCGGGCUAGGAGUUCUGGGAGAGGUGCGUGGAAUUCCUGGUGUAGCGGUGAAAUGCGUAGAUAUCAGGGAGGAACACCUGUGGCGAAGGCGGCGCACUGGACCAGAAACUGACGCUGAGGCGCGAAAGCUAGGGGAGCAAACAGGAUUAGAUACCCUGGUAGUCCUAGCCCUAAACUAUGGAUAGCUUGGUGUGACUGGGAUUACCCAAUCCCAGUCGUGCCGAAGCUAACGCGAUAAGCAUCCCGCCUGGGGAGUACGGUCGCAAGGCUGAAACUCAAAGGAAUUGACGGGGGCCCGCACAAGCGGUGGAGUCAUGUGGUUCAAUUCGACGCAACGCGAAGAACCUUACCUGGGCUCGAAGCGCUAGUGGACAGGUGGAAACAGUCGGCUUUCCCGCAAGGGCCGCUAGUCGAGGUGCUGCAUGGCUGUCGUCAGCUCGUGUCGUGAGAUGUUGGGUUAAGUCCCGCAACGAGCGGCAACCCUAUGCCUUAGUUGCCACCAGGGUCAUGCCUGAGCACUCUAAGGCGAAACUGCCUCGUGAAAACCGGGGAGGAAGGUGGGGAUGACGUCAAGUCCUCAUGGCCUUUAUGUCCAGGGCUACACACGUGCUACAAUGGGUCGGUACAAACCGUCGCAAACCCGCGAGGGGGAGCUAAUCGGAAAAAAGCCGGCUCUCAGUUCGGAUUGGAGUCUGCAACUCGACUCCAUGAAGCUGGAAUCGCUAGUAAUCGCGGAUCAGAACGCCGCGGUGAAUACGUUCCCGGGCCUUGUACACACCGCCCGUCACAUCACGAAAGUGGCGAUACUAGAAGUCGGAUGGCCAACCGCAAGGGAGGAAGCUGUCCAAGGUAUGGCUCAUGAUUGGGGUG